rnacentral:rRNA from 1 species
AUACGGAGGGUGCAAGCGUUGUUCGGAAUUACUGGGCGUAAAGCGCGUGCAGGCGGUAAGGUAAGUCAGAUGUGAAAGCCCCGGGCUCAACCCGGGAAGUGCAUUUGAUACUGCCUUUCUUGAGUAUGGGAGAGGAGAGUGGAAUUCCCAGGGUAGAGGUGAAAUUCGUAGAUAUUGGGAGGAACACCCGUGGCGAAGGCGACUCGCUGGACCAAUACUGACGCUGAGACGCGAAAGCGUGGGGAGCGAACAGGAUUAGAAACCCCAGUAGUCC